GACGAACGCUGGCGGCGUGCUUAACACAUGCCAGUCGAACGGUGAAGCGCCUUCCUUUUUGGUGGGUGUGGAUGAGUGGCGAACGGGUGGGUAACACGUGAGUAACCUGCCCCCUUCUUCUGGAUAACCGCAUGAAAGUGUGGCUAAUACGGGAUAUUCUGGGUCUGUCGCAUGAUGGGUCUGGGAAAGAUUUUGUUUCGGUGGGGGAUGGGCUCGCGGCCUAUCAGCUUGUUGGUGGGGUGAUGGCCUACCAAGGCGGUGACGGGUAGCCGGCCUGAGAGGGUGGACGGUCACACUGGGACGGAGACACGGACCAGACUCCGACGGGAGGCAGCAGUGGGGAAUAUUGCACAAUGGGCGCAAGCCUGAUGCAGCGACGCCGCGUGAGGGAUGGAGGCCUUCGGGUUGUGAACCUCUUUCGCCAGUGAAGCAGGCCUGCCUCGUUUGUGGGUGGGUUGACGGUAGCUGGAUAAGAAGCGCCGGCUAACUACGUG
rnacentral:rRNA from 1 species